rnacentral:lncRNA from 1 species
GGGUUUUAAACCCUUAAUUGAACUUUUUCCUUUAAUCAGCAUUAGGGUUUUAAACCCUAAACUGAAUUUUCCAUUUAGUCAGCAUUAGGGUUUUAAACCCUAAACUGAACUUUUUCCUUUCAGCCAGCAUUAGGGUUUUAAACCCUAAACUGAGCUUUUCCAUGCAAUCAGCAUUAGGGUUUUAAACCCUAAACUGAAUUUUUCCUUUCAGUCAGCAUUGAGGUUUUAAACCCUGAACUGAACUUUUCCAUUUAGUCAGCAUUAGGGUUUUAAACCCUAAACUGAACUCUUUCCAUUCAGCCAUCAUUAGGGUUUUAAACCCUAAACUGAGCUUUUUCCAUGCAUGUCAGCAUUAGGGUUUUAAACCCUAAACUGAACCUUUCCCUUUAGUCAGCAUUAGGGUUUUAAACCCUAAACUGAACUUUUUUCUUUUAGCCAGCAUUAGGGUCUUAAACCCUAAACUGAGCUUUUCCAUGCAAUCAGCAUUUAGGGUUUUAAAACCCUAAACUGAACUUUUUCCUUUAGUUAGCAUUAGGGUUUUAAACUCUAAACUGAACUUUUUCUUUUCAGCCAGCAUUAGGGUUUUAAACCCUAAACUGAGUUUUUCCAUGCAAUCAGCAUUAGGGUUUUAAACCCUAAACUGAGUUUUUCCAUUUAGUCAGCAUUAGGGUUUUAAACCCUAAAUUGAACUCUUUCCUUUCAGCCAGCAUUAGGGUUUUAAACCCUAAACUGAGCUUUUCCAUUCAGCCAGCAUUA